UACGUAGGGGGCGAGCGUUGUCCGGAAUCAUUGGGCGUAAAGCGCGUGUAGGCGGCCCGGUAAGUCCGCUGUGAAAGUCCAGGGCUCAACCCUGGGAUGCCGGUGGAUACUGUCGGGCUCGAGUCCGGAAGAGGCGAGUGGAAUUCCUGGUGUAGCGGUGAAAUGCGCAGAUAUCAGGAGGAACACCGGUGGCGAAGGCGGGUCUCUGGACAGUUCCUGACGCUGAGGCACGAAGGUCAGGGGAGCAAACGGG
rnacentral:rRNA from 1 species